GACGAACGCUGGCGGCGUGCCUAAUACAUGCAAGUCGAGCGGACCAAAGGGAGCUUGCUCCUGGAGGUUAGCGGCGAACGGGUGAGUAACACGUGGGCAACCUGCCUGUAAGACUGGGAUAACAUCGAGAAAUCGGUGCUAAUACCGGAUAAUAAAAAGAACUGCAUGGUUCUUUUUUGAAAGAUGGUUUCGGCUAUCACUUACAGAUGGGCCCGCGGCGCAUUAGCUAGUUGGUGAGGUAACGGCUCACCAAGGCAACGAUGCGUAGCCGACCUGAGAGGGUGAUCGGCCACACUGGGACUGAGACACGGCCCAGACUCCUACGGGAGGCAGCAGUAGGGAAUCUUCCGCAAUGGACGAAAGUCUGACGGAGCAACGCCGCGUGAGUGAUGAAGGUUUUCGGAUCGUAAAACUCUAGUUGUUAGGGAAGAACAAGUGCCGUUCGAAAGGGCGGCACCUUGACGGUACCUAACGAGAAAGCCACGGCUAACUACGUGCCAGCAGCCGCGGUAAA
rnacentral:rRNA from 1 species